rnacentral:rRNA from 1 species
CAGUCGCCGCGGUAAUGCGUAGGUGGCAAGCGUUGUCCGGAAUUAUUGGGCGUAAAGGGCUCGCAGGCGGUUUCUUAAGUCUGAUGUGAAAGCCCCCGGCUCAACCGGGGAGGGUCAUUGGAAACUGGGAAACUUGAGUGCAGAAGAGGGGAGUGGAAUUCCACGUGUAGCGGUGAAAUGCGUAGAGAUGUGGAGGAACACCAGUGGCGAAGGCGACUCUCUGGUCUGUAACUGACGCUGAGGAGCGAAAGCGUGGGGAGCGAACAGGAUUAGAUACCCCAGUAGUCCCUGUCUCUUAUAC